UACGGGGGGAGCAAGCGUUGUUCGGAUUCAUUGGGCGUAAAGGGUGCGUAGGUGGCGCUGUAAGUCGGGUGUGAAAUUUCGGAGCUUAACUCCGAAACUGCAUUCGAUACUGCGGUGCUUGAGGACUGGAGAGGAGACUGGAAUUCAUGGUGUAGCAGUGAAAUGCGCAGAUAUCAGGAGGAACACCGGUGGCGAAGGCGGAUCUCUGGGCCUUACCUGACGCUGAGGCGCGAAAGCUAGGGGAGCAAACAGG
rnacentral:rRNA from 1 species